rnacentral:rRNA from 1 species
UAUCCUGGCUCAGGAUGAACGCUAGCUAUAGGCUUAACACAUGCAAGUCGAGGGGAAACGGCAGAGAGUGCUUGCACACUUUGGACGUCGACCGGCGCACGGGUGAGUAACGCGUAUCCAACCUGCCCUUUACUUGGGGAUAACCCGUUGAAAGACGGACUAAUACCCAAUGAUAUUCAUUGAUGACAUCUGAUUUGAAUUAAAGAUUUAUCGGUAUAGGAUGGGGAUGCGUCUGAUUAGCUUGUUGGUGAGGUAACGGCUCACCAAGGCAACGAUCAGUAGGGGUUCUGAGAGGAAGGUCCCCCACAUUGGAACUGAGACACGGUCCAAACUCCUACGGGAGGCAGCAGUGAGGAAUAUUGGUCAAUGGACGAGAGUCUGAACCAGCCAAGUAGCGUGCAGGAUGACGGCCCUAUGGGUUGUAAACUGCUUUUGUUUGGGAAUAAUCGACAUUACGUGUAAUGUUUUGCAUGUACCAUUCGAAUAAGGACCGGCUAAUUCCGUG